rnacentral:rRNA from 2 species
AGAGUUUGAUCCUGGCUCAGGAUGAACGCUGGCGGCGUGCCUAAUACAUGCAAGUCGAGCGAACGGACGAGAAGCUUGCUUCUCUGAUGUUAGCGGCGGACGGGUGAGUAACACGUGGAUAACCUACCUAUAAGACUGGGAUAACUUCGGGAAACCGGAGCUAAUACCGGAUAAUAUUUUGAACCGCAUGGUUCAAAAGUGAAAGACGGUCUUGCUGUCACUUAUAGAUGGAUCCGCGCUGCAUUAGCUAGUUGGUAAGGUAACGGCUUACCAAGGCAACGAUGCAUAGCCGACCUGAGAGGGUGAUCGGCCACACUGGAACUGAGACACGGUCCAGACUCCUACGGGAGGCAGCAGUAGGGAAUCUUCCGCAAUGGGCGAAAGCCUGACGGAGCAACGCCGCGUGAGUGAUGAAGGUCUUCGGAUCGUAAAACUCUGUUAUUAGGGAAGAACAUAUGUGUAAGUAACUGUGCACAUCUUGACGGUACCUAAUCAGAAAGCCACGGCUAACUACGUGCCAGCAGCCGCGGUAAUACGUAGGUGGCAAGCGUUAUCCGGAAUUAUUGGGCGUAAAGCGCGCGUAGGCGGUUUUUUAAGUCUGAUGUGAAAGCCCACGGCUCAACCGUGGAGGGUCAUUGGAAACUGGAAAACUUGAGUGCAGAAGAGGAAAGUGGAAUUCCAUGUGUAGCGGUGAAAUGUGCAGAGAUAUGGAGGAACACCAGUGGCGAAGGCGACUUUCUGGUCUGUAACUGACGCUGAUGUGCGAAAGCGUGGGGAUCAAACAGGAUUAGAUACCCUGGUAGUCCACGCCGUAAACGAUGAGUGCUAAGUGUUAGGGGGUUUCCGCCCCUUAGUGCUGCAGCUAACGCAUUAAGCACUCCGCCUGGGGAGUACGACCGCAAGGUUGAAACUCAAAGGAAUUGACGGGGACCCGCACAAGCGGUGGAGCAUGUGGUUUAAUUCGAAGCAACGCGAAGAACCUUACCAAAUCUUGACAUCCUUUGACAACUCUAGAGAUAGAGCCUUCCCCUUCGGGGGACAAAGUGACAGGUGGUGCAUGGUUGUCGUCAGCUCGUGUCGUGAGAUGUUGGGUUAAGUCCCGCAACGAGCGCAACCCUUAAGCUUAGUUGCCAUCAUUAAGUUGGGCACUCUAAGUUGACUGCCGGUGACAAACCGGAGGAAGGUGGGGAUGACGUCAAAUCAUCAUGCCCCUUAUGAUUUGGGCUACACACGUGCUACAAUGGACAAUACAAAGGGCAGCGAAACCGCGAGGUCAAGCAAAUCCCAUAAAGUUGUUCUCAGUUCGGAUUGUAGUCUGCAACUCGACUACAUGAAGCUGGAAUCGCUAGUAAUCGUAGAUCAGCAUGCUACGGUGAAUACGUUCCCGGGUCUUGUACACACCGCCCGUCACACCACGAGAGUUUGUAACACCCGAAGCCGGUGGAGUAACCUUUUAGGAGCUAGCCGUCGAAGGUGGGACAAAUGAUUGGGGUGAAGUCGUAACAAGGUAGCCGUAUCGGAAGGUGCGGCUGGAUCACCU